CCCUUAGAUGUUCUGGGCCGCACGCGUGCUACACUGAGUGGAUCAGCGGGUCAGGUUGCGCGAAAGCGUUUCCUAAUCUUUAAAUCCGCUCGUGAUGGGGAUUGACGGUUGCAAUUUUCUGUCAUGAACGAGGAAUACCUUGUAAGCGCGGGUCAUCAUCCCGCGCUGAAUACGUCCCUGCCCUUUGUACACACCGCCCGUCGCUCCUACCGAUUGAAUGAUCCGAUGAAUAUCAUGGAUUGAGGAUGCAAGCAGGUUCGCCUGUCUUCAUCUUCGAGAAGUGAAGUAAAUCUUAUCAUUUAGAGGAAGGAGAAGUCGUAACA
rnacentral:rRNA from 1 species